GGCCCCAUCGUCUAGGGGUUAGGACACCGCUCUUUCAAGGCGGCGGCAGGGGUUCGAAUCCCCUUGGGGCUACCA
rnacentral:tRNA from 1 species